UAACAACUCACCUGCCGAAGCAACUAGCCCUUAAAAUGGAUGGCGCUCAAGUCAUAUGCCUAUACAUCAUCGCUAGAAUAAAAAUUGUUGGCCAUUCGGUCAUCAUUGUGAAAUUCUAGUGAGUAGGAGGGUACAAUGGUGUGCGCAGAAGUGUUUGGCGUGAGCCUGCAUGAAGCCGCCAUUGGCACAGAUCUUGGUGGUAGUAGCAAAU
rnacentral:rRNA from 14 species